CGCCCCGCCGCGGCGCCCGCGCCCCUCGCCUGCAAGCCUGCCCCUCCGGUCGAACUGAGUCUGGGGCCACAGCGCCAAAGGUGGGACGCCGGCAAGCCACCCGACCACCCCGAAGCCACGGGUGCAGCGGACCUGACCCGGCGAGAGCGGCGCGGGAGGCCCACAGGCCCAAGCCCGCGUAGCCCCAGCCUCCCCGCCCCCGCGCCGCGCCGAUGGCGUAGGUGGUGGCGCACCGGCCCCAUUACGCAAUGCAGGUUACGCGGGACGCGCCGCGGACCCCCGCUGCCCGCCCUGCGCGCCCGUCGCCCCGAAGGGCACCGGUCCUUACCUGAGACUCUAGGCCGCACGCCGCCCCCGCCGGCCGUCCGCUGCCGCCGCCCCCUCUCUCCUGGGCUGCCUGCGCGGCGCCGGGGCCCGCCCGCCGCGCCCGCCGCUCCGCUGCACUCACAGGCCCAGCUCGCCCGCAGGCACCGCCGGCAGCUGCCGCCGCCGCCGCCGCUGCCGCCACUGCUACUGCUUCGGCUCCUCGGCUGCGGAGAGCAGAACAAACAGCCCUGCCGCCGCCGCCGCCGCCGCCGCCGCCAGCGCACUGACGUCACCGCGCACGUUGCGCGCGCGAUCACGUGCUGUCGCCGCCGCCCUGCGUGCGCGCUCUGUCCCGGCGCGGGAGCGAGCAAGCUGCGCAGAGGUAACUCCGGAGGUGGAGAGAGUGCAGGGAUCCGACGCGCAGGAUUUGAGGAAAAAAAAUGGUCUUCCACAUAAAUUUAAUAGAAUUCAGUCAAGAGAAAGAUUACUCCUCUGAUUUAUGAUCAUCAUGUGUGCUGCCUCCUUUUACUACACUCUCUGCCAUCACUCCCAGAUGAUGUUCUACCUCAUCUGGGGCCACAAGGAAUGGAGCCUGCUGUCUGUGGAUUGAGAACUCUGAAACUGUAAGCCUCCAACUAAACUUUUCCUCCUUUACUGCUGUUCUGGUCCAGUCCUCUCAUCACAGUGGUGAAAAGGGCGCUCACAAUGUGAGAUUGCAUUGAACCUCAGAGAAGACUUUGGAUUUGAACUUUGAGCAAACUUGGAAUUGUUGAGACUAUGGAUGAUAUUGCCAGUUAUCAGUGACGAGUCCUGGAGUCCUGCUUCCCCACAUGUUGAAGUUUGAACAUUAGAAAAGCAUGGCGAGAUCAUCCUGUGAGCUCCUUCCCUGCACUACACUCUUCUGCCAUGAUGUCCUGCCUCAGUGUGAGCCCCAAGGAAUGGAGCCUACUGUCUUAUGAACUGAGACCUAUGAAACUGUGAGCCCCCAAAUAAACUUUCCCCCUCUGCCA
rnacentral:lncRNA from 1 species